rnacentral:rRNA from 1 species
UAAGGAAUAUUGGUCAAUGGACGCAAGUCUGAACCAGCCAUGCCGCGUGAGGGAUGAAGGUCCUCUGGAUUGUAAACUUCUUUUAUCUGGGACGAAAACGGGAUUUUUAUCUCAAUUGACGGUACCAGAGGAAUAAGCACCGGCUAACUCCGUGCCAGCAGCCGCGGUAAUACGGAGGGUGCGAGCGUUAUCCGGAUUUACUGGGUUUAAAGGGUGCGUAGGUGGGCUUAUAAGUCAGUGGUGAAAUCUCCGAGCUUAACUUGGAAACUGCCGUUGAUACUAUAGGUCUUGAAUUAUCUGGAGGUAAGCGGAAUAUGUCAUGUAGCGGUGAAAUGCUUAGAUAUGACAUAGAACACCAAGUGCGAAGGCAGCUUACUACAUAUAAAUUGACGCUGAGGCACGAAAGCGUGGGGAUCAAACA